CACAGAGGAGUAGAGGCGAAGCAGACGAAUUUUAAUAAUAAUUUUUAAUUUAACUAAAACAAGAAGAUCAAAAUGUAGAAUAUUCUAUGUCCUAUUUAUUUAUCCUCUCUAAAUACUGUUGGUCUGUGGAUGUGAAACUGUUGUUCGUGAAUGAAUAGCUGUGUUUUGGAAUAACACACAACACACAACCGACUGAUAAGUACAAAUAAUAAGUGUCUGUGUGAUCAACUUGCUUCUAAUGAGAAAGGGGACAGAUGAAAUAGUUUAUAGGUUAUGCUCUGAUAAAUAUUUAUGCCUCAACAUUUUGACUAUUGGCUAGCAAAAUUAUUCAAACUAUUUUGAUUGUGUAUUGCUUAUGAAUAAACGAGUGCAUAAGACAUUGAUAAAUGAACAGUAUAUAACCCAAUUUACAUGUUAACUCUGAACUACUUCAAGGUCAUAGUAGUUUUGAUUUUGUUCAGAUGUAAUUUUUUAAAGAUUUUGUUAAGGUGCUAAGGCCCUCUUGGUCUACAAUAUAUUCUCUAUCUGGAGAUAAUAUAAGUUGAAGAUCAGUUAGAAAAGUACCUGAAGAACAGUGUCUGUUAUCUGCCAGGACAUGGGUUCCAACGGAUCAAAGCUUGUAAAAAAGAUAUUCACCUCAUCCUCCAACCCAAGUGUAUACUCUGACUGUGAUUGUCAGCCCCAUUUCUCGGAAUCAACGAAAACAAUGGCUGGACCAAUUGUUUUAUCUAGACAAGGAUCAAUGUUUUUUGAUGAAGAUGGGGAUUUAGCUCAUGAAUUCUACGAAGAAGUCAAACCCAACAAAAGAGGAUCGAAAGCAAAAAUGAAGAGGAUACAAACAAAUCUAGUACCAC